UAUCCGCCACUCAAGUCACUACUGAAAAAUUUUUCUGCUAGGGAAUAACGAACACCUUGUAGGGAUCUGUGGAUCGAUUUUCUGGCUGGAGGAUCGCGAAAUUCCCCGCCUUCUUCCCCAAUACGGGUGACACAACCUGGGAAGAAACCAGGGGAAGUCUAAAGGGGCAAUCAGUCCUCUAGGUUACUUAUCACACGGUCGGUUCCUUUAGGGUUAAACUAUUUAUCCACCCUACGCCAGAAGAACCUUAGAAAAUCGCCAUGACCAUCAAACUAAACAAAGAACUCAGAAGCCCAGCGCGAACUAAGACUCCCUCAGACUUCUUUUCUCUUUUCUCGUUGUCAGUAUGUUGCAUUCAAGUGUGAGCUGCAAUGGAAAGGUAAGGGUUAAAAAGGGGGGUGAGAGGGGAAGAGAGUGAGAGAAACUUACGGGUUUGGAGUGGUAGAAUUAGGGUUUGGAGAAGUUGGAUUAGGGUCUGAAGAAUUGUAUCUAUUAUUCUCAUCGGAAGUCCAGCAGGUGAAUCCUUUACCCUCAUCAGUCUUCGGGUUGGGGUGGAAAACCAGCGAGGAGAGAUUUUUGCCCAGAGCUCGACAGUCGAGAUCACCAGUGGACUUUAUUGUCAUAUAGGCCACAUGCUUUAACGCUGGGAGAUGGAUUUCAUCAAGAUCUCCGUCGAUUAAUAUUCCCGCAGAGACAUUUUCCAGUGCCGGGAACGUGACCUUUUUAAGUUCCGGGUUGGCUGCCAUCGCCAAAUCAUUGCCGAUGGUACGGAGUUUUGGGAAUGAUACGUUCGUCAGUUCGUUCAAAUAUGCGAUCAGAACCCAAUCGCCAACCUCCUCCAAAUCUGGCAUGGAGAUGGACGUGACCGCAUCAUCCACUCGGUCGGAAAAAUUAAAUUUCGGACCCAAAUACCCAGCAUUGAAUUUUCCAGAUAUAUACUUGACGUUUGGCACUUGAAACGGCCCCGUGAAAGUAUGAUUGAUGCUAAACGGAAUACCAUCUUCUAUCCUCGUGCAAGUGGAGUAGAAGUCGAUAUCUUCUUGAGUCGCUAUGCUGAUCGAGAAAUCAUCACAUGCUCGAGGUUUUUCAUCUAGCUGUGAUCCAAUCACAGUGUUGACAGUGACGGUCAAGAUCCCUGCUAACAGCAAAGCUCUGCCUUGCAUUUUGUUUCCGUUAUA
rnacentral:sRNA from 1 species